rnacentral:tRNA from 1 species
AUUUAUUUAGUAUAGUUUGUAUAAUUAAUUUCCAAUUAAUAGGUUUAGAAAGAUUUAAAAUAAAUA